rnacentral:rRNA from 1 species
GGUUCUGGAUGGAAGGGCCGUCGCUCAACGGAUAAAAGGUACGCCGGGGAUAACAGGCUGAUCUCCCCCAAGAGUCCACAUCGACGGGGAGGUUUGGCACCUCGAUGUCGGCUCAUCGCAUCCUGGGGCUGAAGUAGGUCCCAAGGGUUCGGCUGUUCGCCGAUUAAAGCGGUACGUGAGCUGGGUUUAGAACGUCGUGAGACAGUUCGGUCCCUAUCUGAUGUGGGCGCAGGAUAUUUGAGAGGAGCUGUCCUUAGUACGAGAGGACCGGGAUGGACGAACCUCUAGUGUACCAGUUGUUCCGCCAGGGGCAUCGCUGGGUAGCUAUGUUCGGAAAGGAUAACCGCUGAAAGCAUCUAAGCGGGAAACCUACCUCAAGAUUAGAUAUCCCUUUCCGGUGGCGACACCGGAGCUAAAGACCCCUUGUAGACUACAAGGUUGAUAGGCCAGAGGUGUAAGUCCAGAAAUGGAUUGAGCUUACUGGUACUAAUGGGUCGUGCGGCUUGACCAU